CUCAGGAACAGGUAACAGGUAUAGUUAAACCAAUAAUGGAGAGGAAGAUUCAAGCCAGCUAUAUGAGAAAGACAGACCAGGUAAAAGGCAAAGGUGGCAGCAGUAACGUAGCGAUGAUGCUGAUGAUAAUAUCAGAACAACUAAGAUUCACGGAGUCCUUACGAAGUCCCAGCUACUCUGUAACUGCACGAAGGCACUGGGAAAGGAUGACUUCAGUUUAAAUUUACGAACACCUUCCAGUUUCAAAUUUCCUUUCUUAAACUUGAAAAUGGUAGUAACAAUUCUCUUAUGCCACAAAACAGACUAGUUGAAAAAUAGUUCUGAUUUAAAUGUU